rnacentral:rRNA from 1 species
GCCAACGGGGAAUGCCUUGGGGCCUAUGACCGAAGAAGGACGUGGAUGACUGCGAAAAGUUACGGUGAGACGUCUAUCAGUCUGCGGCCCGUAAAUGUCCGAAUGAGGAAACUCAGCACUCGUUAUUGAGUGUUAUUCCGGUGUGAAUACAUAGCACCGGUAAAGGGAACCGGGGGAAUUGAAACAUCUCAGUACCCCGAGGAAAGAAAAGCAAACGCGACUCCCCUAGUAGUGGCGAGCGAAAAGGGAACAGGCUAAACCGCAACGACGUGACACCCUGAAGGGGUUGUCGGUGCGGUGUCGUGGGAUAUCGAGGUACGGCUUCAGACGUACCACGGAGUUACCAAAGUGCUGCGUAGUGGAACCGGCCUGGAAAGACCGACCAUAGGGGGUAAUAGUCCCGUACACGAAACGUAUGCACUCUCCGCGAUCGAUCCCAAGUAAUGGCGGGUCCGAGCAACCUGCCAUGAAUCCGUGGGGACCACCCCAUAAGCCUCAGUAUUUAUAGGCGACCGAUAGUGAACCAGUACCGCGAGGGAAAGGUGAAAAGAACCCCGGGAGGGGAGUGAAAUAGUACCUGAAACCGUUGGUUUACAAGCAGUCAGAGAGUUGUUGUACCGCUUGCGGUGCAGCCUCGAUGGCGUGCCUUUUGAAGAAUGAGCCUACGAGUUACGGUAUGUGGCGAGGUUAACCCGAGAGGGGUAGCCGAAGCGAAAGCGAGUCUGAACAGGGCGUUCAGUCGCAUGCUGUAGACCCGAAGCCAAGUGAUCUUGCCAUGGUCAGGUUGAAGCGGGGGUAAGACCCCGUGGAGGACCGAACAGGUACCAGUUGAAAAUGGUUCUGAUGAACUGUGGUAAGGGGCGAAAGACCAAUCAAACUUGGCGAUAGCUGGUUCUCCUCGAAAUGCAUUUAGGUGCAGCGUUGCACGUUCAAUUCCGGAGGUAGAGCACUGGAUGGGCUAGAGGUCCAACAAGAUUAUCGACCCCAGCCAAACUCCGAAUUACGGAAUUCCAGAGUGCAGCAGUGAGACCAUGGGGGAUGAGCUUCAUUGGUCGAAAGGGAAACAGCCCAGAUCAUCAGCUAAGGCCCCAAAUUCAGGACUAAGUGUAAAACGAUGUGAAAUUGCUUAGACAGCCAGGAGGUUGGCUUAGAAGCAGCCACCCUUGAAAGAGUGCGUAACAGCUCACUGGUCGAGUGAUUUUGCGCGGACAAUGUAACGGGGCUCAAGUCCUGAGCCGAAGCUAUGGAUUGCAACGAGAUUCGUCUCGUUGCAGUGGUAGAGGAGCGUUGAUGGAGUGCCGAAGCGACGAGGUAACUCGGCGUGGAGUUCCAUCAAGUGAGAAUGUAGGUAUGAGUAGCGAGAGAGGGGUGAGAAACCCCUCCGCCGAAUGCCCAAGGUUUCCUGGGGAAGGCUAAUCCUCCCAGGGUAAGUCGGGAGCUAAGGAGAGGCCGCGAGGCGUAUCCGAUGCACAACUGGUUGAUAUUCCAGUACCGCCGUGUACACGUCAAGCCCAAGCUCGAUAAAGCGGAGGCUGCCUUCGGGCGAAUCCGCGUAGUCGGGUGAGGGUAACUAAAGCGGGACACAGCAGGAUAGGUGAUCCGGAUUAAUGGAUUUCCGGGUAAGCGUGUAGGUGGGUCACGAUGAGAGUCGAGGCCGUAACACUGAGACGCAAUACCGACCUCGUUUGAGGGAAGUCACUGAUUCCACACUGUCGAGAAAAGCGCAGUAGUGAGUUGACACGGCGCCCGUACCCCAAACCGACUCAGGUGGGCGCGUAGAGAAUACGAAGGCGAUCGGGAGAACUGUGGUUAAGGAACUCGGCAAAUUACCUCCGUAACUUCGGGAUAAGGAGGACCCAUGAUCGUCAGAGACUUCGCGUCUCGAAGCGAAUGUGGGUGUCACAAACUAGGGAGCAGCGACUGUUUAACAAAAACACAGCAGCGUGCCAAGCCGCAAGGCGAUGUAUACGCUGUGACGCCUGCCCAAUGCUGGAAGGUCACGAGGAUGAGUUAGCCGCAAGGCGAAGCUUUGAAUCUAAGCCCCAGUGAAUGGCGGCCGUAACUAUAACGGUCCUAAGGUAGCGAAAUUCCUUGUCGGGUAAGUUCCGACCUGCACGAAUGGCGUAACGACUGCUUCACUGUCUCAACCACCGACCCGGCGAAAUUGAAGUACGAGUAAAGAUGCUCGUUAGAUGUAGAAAGACGGAAAGACCCCGUGCACCUUUACUAUAACUUGGUGUUGGGCUUCGACCUUAACUGUGUAGCUUAGGUGGGAGACGUUGAAGCGCGAGCGCUAGUUCGCGUGGAGUCAUCAGUGAAAUACCACCCUGUUCAGUUUGGAGCUCUAACCUCGAUCCAUCAUCUGGGUCAGGAACAGUGCCAGGCGGGUAGUUUGACUGGGGCGGUCGCCUCCUAAAUUGUAACGGAGGCGCUCAAAGGUUCCCUCAGACUGGUUGGUAAUCAGUCGGCGAGUGUAAUGACACAAGGGAGCUUUACUGCGAGACCAACAAGUCAAGCAGUUGCGAAAGCAGGACAUAGUGACCCGGCCAUUGCUUGUGGAAGCGAGGUCGCUCAACGGAUAAAAGGUACGCCGGGGAUAACAGGCUAAUCUUGCCCAAGAGUCCAUAUCGACGGCAAGGUUUG